UACGUAGGGACCAAGCGUUGUUCGGAUUUACUGGGCGUAAAGGGCGCGUAGGCGGCGCGGUAAGUCACUUGUGAAAUCUCUGAGCUUAACUCAGAACGGCCAAGUGAUACUGCAGUGCUAGAGUGUGGAAGGGGCAAUCGGAAUUCUUGGUGUAGCGGUGAAAUGCGCAGAUAUCAGGAGGAACACCGGUGGCGAAGGCGGUUCUCUGGGCCUUACCUGACGCUGAGGAGCGAAAGCGUGGGGAGCAAACAGG
rnacentral:rRNA from 1 species